GGGGAUUUAGUUCAGUGGAACAAUGCCUGCCUUGCAAGCAGAAGGUCCUGAGUUCAAUCCCUA
rnacentral:tRNA from 1 species